CACUGGGCCUAAAGAGCAUGUAGGCGGGUUAAUAAGUCAGAAGUGAAAUCCAAUAGCUCAACUAUUGAACUGCUUUUGAAACUGUUAGCCUAGAAUAUGGGAGAGGUAGAUGGAAUUUCUGGUGUAGGGGUAAAAUCCGUAGAGAUCAGAAGGAAUACCGAUUGCGAAGGCGAUCUACUGGAACAUAACUGACGCUGAGACGCGAAAGCGUGGGGAGCAAACAGGAUUAGAUACCCUGGUAGUCCACGCCCUAAACGAUGCACACUAGUUGUUGCUAUGCUAGACAUAGCAGUAAUGCAGUUAACACAUUAAGUGUGCCGCCUGGGGAGUACGGUCGCAAGAUUAAAACUCAAA
rnacentral:rRNA from 1 species